UCAACCAGAACCCUAACUGCUGCUGUAGCCCCUACCCUGUCAUCACUAGGAAGGUUGUGAACCAAUCAUCUCACCUGUGGGUCCUCCCCCAGACUGUGAACAUCCUUUCAAUUCUAAGGAAAGAAGAAGGACUCCCCCACCUCCAAGAGCACGGAGUGGACAGGUUAUGAGCAAUGGAAAGAGAGCCGGUGUUGCGUCCACGUCUUGUGCAGAAAACAAAGAAGCCCAAGAACAAGAGCCUUCCUUAUUCUGGCUCUCCUGAAAGCCAGCUUUUGCGUGCACGUAUCUGCAUUUCCCCAGGGCAGGUGCCUAGGGGCUCAGCCACUGUGCGUCUUCUGAAUGCCCUAAGGAUGUCCACCACCAAUUAGGUUCCCAUCCUAGACUGCGGCCGGCGGCCGGUGCCCCAUCGACCAGCCAGGCAAGAGAUCUUCCGUGAUUGCCAGCCACGUUUUGUUGGGAAUUUCGCCGCAUCUUUCCUGUGGCCCACGCAGGAGAAAAAUGAACGCUCAGACGAUAGUCUCGCGCCCAACCCCGUGCCAGGAUUGAAGGCGGAGAACCCAGUCCUGCCCUCAAAACCGCAAACUCGAGCAGGCAGGAGAGGCCGUGGCCGGACCUUGCUGACGCAGGAGCAGAGUGCGGCCCUGGAGUCACGUGGGGGAGGCCGGUCACUCUCGUCCCCUCUCCUUGGAGAAAGCAGGUCAGGGGAGCAGCCUCGCUUUCAGUCUGCUGUUACCUCGCUCUGCAGGCUCUCUGAAGGCCUCCUGGUCACCCUGCCAGUGAAGGAGGGAUCCCGACCCAAAGCAGACCCACGGCGCUAACAGCAGACAGCGGAGACGGACGGCAGCUUCCAGCGGCCACACGCAUCACAGGCCAGCAGGAAGACCUGGCCACAUGGGGCUCCUGGGGCGGCCCACAGGAGCAGCCAACCAGCACGGGGUGAAGGCUGUGAGGCUGAGGGCUGGGCGGGGGCGGCUGUCCAGCCAGGGGGCUAGCAUGUGGGGGCCUCCCUGCCGGGCGGUGGGCACACAUGUGUGCCAAGAGCAGGGAAGCCCAGAGCUGGGCCACUGCGACCCAGAGAUGACAAGACAGCACAGGAGUCUUUAGGUCUUCUGUCAUCGGGGCUUUUCGGCUAAUCCCUGGAGGGUCAGCUGCCCUGGAGCUGCGGUGACAGCCUCGCCCACCAGCCCGGUCGGGAAGGGGUCAUGGGUGAUGAUCCCAACACAGGAGGGCCGGGAGGAACGUUUCCCCUCCCAGACACCUCCAGAGGCCACCCUGGGCCUGCCCAGGACACUGUUUUGCUCCAACGUUUAGAAUCCCCCCCUGAUGGGACCUUUGGUUUUCUGGCAUUGCCCUGUGUUUAACCCUCUGGACUGGGUGGCCGCAUGCAUUUCUCUAGAAUCCCUCUGUCCCCUACUGGCCACCGUCCACCCUGUGUCAAAUCAACUCCCUGGGUCCCAGCUCAGGCAGCCCCCAUCCUCCUCAGCCCAGGGCUGGUGCUGCCUUCUUGCCCCACCUCUGCCUGGGCUUGCGGGCAGCUGUCCAGUGGAGUCCCUGCUCACCCCCCUCAGCUGGGGUCUCCGGGCUCCCCACCCGCACAGCCCGUCCUGAGUUUGUUCCCUGCCCGGUGUGGCCAAGGAGCUCCGGCCCAUAUGGGAACAGGGACCUGAGGACCCAUCCUGCUUGGGCACAUCUGUCUUCAGUGACAGUAAGAUUCCUUCCUGCACAAGCCCGCACCACUGUGUGCCCUGUGCACCACUGUCCAGCCCAGGCUGGAGCUCGAGGGCCUUUUCCAUGGGAGCCCUGCCACCCCCCCACCACACCCCGGCUGGCUCUACUCUCUCUGACAUUCCAAGGAUGCCUUCCUGGGCGGGAAUUCCUGACCCACAGAGAUGGUCUUGAUGACCAAACACGGGCCCUUCUCCACAGAGGUGGGGAAUGCUCUUUGCCAAUGUGUUUAGAAGAACAGGAUUUGUCUUGGGGACAAAAGUUCAAGGGUGUUUAUUCAUUCGACUGGUAUGUAUUAACCACCAUAUGCCAUGCACUGUCCUAAAUUCUGGGAAAAUAAACGUUUAAAAAGAGAGAAAGAGAGAGAGAGAGAGGGGGGCACCUGGGAGGCUCAGUCGGUUAAGCAUCCGAC